rnacentral:sRNA from 1 species
UUUUUCCUUUUUUUUU